rnacentral:rRNA from 1 species
GACGAACGCUGGCGGCGUGCUUAACACAUGCCAGUCGAACGGAAAGGCCCUGCUGUUGUGGUGUGCUCGUGUUGCGAACGGGUGAGUAACACGUGAGUAACCUGCCCUUGCCUUUGGGAUAACUUCAGGAAACUGGGGCUAAUACCGGAUAGGAGCUCCUGCUGCUUGGUGUGGGUUGGAAAGUUUCGGCGGUUGGGGAUGGACUCGCGGCUAAGCAGCUUGUUGGUGGGGUUGUGGCUUACCAAGGCUUUGACGGGUAGCCAGCUUGAGAGGGUGACCGGCCACAUUGGGACUGAGAUAGGGCCCAGACGGCUACGGGAGGCAGGAGUGGAGAAUAUAGCGCGAUGGGCGGAGGCCGGAUGCAGCAACGUCGCGUGCUGGAGGACGGCUUUCGGGUUGUAAACCGCUUUCGCCUGUGACGAAGCGUGAGUGACGGUAAUGGGUAAGGAAGCAACGGCUAACUACGUG